AUUAAGCAUAUCAAUAAGCGGAGGAAAAGAAACCAACCGGGAUUGCCUCAGUAACGGCGAGUGAAGCGGCAAGAGCUCAAAUUUGAAAGCUGGCUCCUUCGGAGUCCGCAUUGUAAUUUGCAGAGGAUGCUUUGGGUGCGGCCCCCGUCUAAGUGCCCUGGAACGGGCCGUCAGAGAGGGUGAGAAUCCCGUCUUGGGCGGGGUGUCCGUGCCCGUGUAAAGCUCCUUCGACGAGUCGAGUUGUUUGGGAAUGCAGCUCUAAAUGGGUGGUAAAUUUCAUCUAAAGCUAAAUACUGGCCGGAGACCGAUAGCGCACAAGUAGAGUGAUCGAAAGAUGAAAAGCACUUUGAAAAGAGAGUUAAACAGCACGUGAAAUUGUUGAAAGGGAAGCGCUUGCGACCAGACUCGCCCGCGGGGUUCAGCCGGCAUUCGUGCCGGUGUACUUCCCCGUGGGCGGGCCAGCGUCGGUUUGGGCGGCCGGUCAAAGGCCCCUGGAAUGUAGUGCCCUCCGGGGCACCUUAUAGCCAGGGGUGCAAUGCGGCCAGCCUGGACCGAGGAACGCGCUUCGGCACGGACGCUGGCAUAAUGGUCGUAAACGACCCGUCUUGAAACACGGACCCAA
rnacentral:rRNA from 1 species